UACGGGGGGGGCAAGCGUUGUUCGGAAUUACUGGGCGUAAAGGGCUCGUAGGUGGCCAACUAAGUCAGACGUGAAAUCCCUCGGCUUAACCGGGGAACUGCGUCUGAUACUGGAUGGCUUGAGUUCGGGAGAGGGAUGCGGAAUUCCAGGUGUAGCGGUGAAAUGCGUAGAGAUCGGGAGGAACAUCAAUUGCGAAGGCAGCUCGCUGGGACGUCACUGACGCUGAGACGCGAAAGCGUGGGGAGCAAACAGG
rnacentral:rRNA from 1 species